rnacentral:rRNA from 1 species
GCUCAGAUUGAACGCUGGCGGCAGGCCUAACACAUGCAAGUCGAACGGUAACAGGAAGAAGCUUGCUUCUUUGCUGACGAGUGGCGGACGGGUGAGUAAUGUCUGGGAAACUGCCUGAUGGAGGGGGAUAACUACUGGAAACGGUAGCUAAUACCGCAUAACGUCGCAAGACCAAAGAGGGGGACCUUCGGGCCUCUUGCCAUCGGAUGUGCCCAGAUGGGAUUAGCUUGUUGGUGGGGUAACGGCUCACCAAGGCGACGAUCCCUAGCUGGUCUGAGAGGAUGACCAGCCACACUGGAACUGAGACACGGUCCAGACUCCUACGGGAGGCAGCAGUGGGGAAUAUUGCACAAUGGGCGCAAGCCUGAUGCAGCCAUGCCGCGUGUAUGAAGAAGCCUUCGGGUUGUAAAGUACUUUCAGCGGGGAGGAAGGGAGUAAAGUUAAUACCUUUGCUCAUUGACGUUACCCGCAGAAGAAGCACCGGCUAACUCCGUGCCAGCAGCCGCGGUAAUACGGAGGGUGCAAGCGUUAAUCGGAAUUACUGGGCGUAAAGCGCACCAGGCGGUUUGUUAAGUCAGAUGUGAAAUCCCCGGGCUCAACCUGGGAACUGCAUCUGAUACUGCAAGCUUGAGUCUCGUAGAGGGGGGUAGAAUUCCAGGUGUAGCGGUGAAAUGCGUAGAGAUCUGGAGGAAUACCGGUGGCGAAGGCGGCCCCCUGACGAAGACU